GACGAACGCUGGCGGCGUGCUUAACACAUGCAAGUCGAACGGAAAGGCCCUGCUUUUGUGGGGUGCUCGAGUGGCGAACGGGUGAGUAACACGUGAGUAACCUGCCCUUGACUUUGGGGUAACUUCAGGAAACUGGGGCUAAUACCGGAUAGGAUCUCCUGCUGCAUUGUGGGGGUUGGAACGUUUCGGCUGUUGGGGAUGGACUCGCGGCUUAUGAGCUUGUUGGUGGGGGAGUGGCUUACCAAGGCUUUGACGGGUAGCCGGCAUGGGAGGGUGACCGGCCACAUUGGGACUGCGAUACGGACCAGACUCCUACGGGAGGCAGCAGUGGGGAAUAUUGCACAAUGGGCGGGCGCCUGAUACAGCAACGCCGCGUGCGGGAUGACGGCCUUCGGGUUGUAAACCGCUUUCGCCUGUGACGAAGCGGGAGUGACGGUAAUGGGUGAAGAAGCACCGGCUAACUACGUG
rnacentral:rRNA from 1 species